GCCAUUGGCAGUAGUCCCAGCUACUCGGGAGGUUGAGGCAGAGGCUUGCUUGAGCCCAGGAGUUCUCGGCUGUAGUGCACUAUGUCGACGGGGUGUCUGCAUGAAAUAUGCCAUCAAGAUGAUGACCUCCUGCGAGCUGGGAACCACCAGGUUGCCUAAGGAGGGGUGAAUGGGCCCAGGUCGGAAAUGGAGCAGGUCAAAACUCCCAUGCUGAUCACGAGGGUUGGUGCCUGUGAAUACCUACUGUACUCCAGCCUGGGCAGCAGAACAAGACCCAAUCCCUU
rnacentral:SRP_RNA from 1 species